rnacentral:rRNA from 1 species
AUGCUCGCUGCUGCGGCCGGGCUCAUCUUCUGGAGAUAUGACCGGAACUCCUCGCUCCUGCUCGACACCAGCACCAUGGCAUUCUCCAUCGUCCCUCUGCCAGUUACAAUAACGACGCACACGAUGAUGCCGCCGGGAGCAUACGCCAUCGGAGACACCGAGGCCGGUGUGUGUUGCCUUUUGCUUAUGGUCGGCAGGACUACGCUGCAAGUGUGGCUACUCAAGAAGAAGGACGGCGGUGGCGGGCAUGCGUGGGAGUUGGAGAAGCAAAGCCAUAUCGGCUGGCUGGACAGCUUCAACCGGCGGUUCGGCGUUCAUAUGGUGGCUGCUGGGCUGGAAAUUGUUUACUGUAUGAGUUGCAAAUUUUCUCACUUUGUCAUUGAUCUCAAGGACCUGAGCCUCAUGGAUAAGUUCCGUUGUCAUCGAACCAUGGCGUACCCUUUCCAAAUGCCAUGGCCACCUGCUGCGUUGGUGCCUACUUCUCCGUGUGAUCGACCCACCACACCCCAAACAUAUGCUUGCGGAGAUGCUCAAAAUCAACACGAAGCACCCUCUUCUAGUAGGAAGCGCAAGAGCAAUGAUGAAGUGGAGCCAUGUAUUCUCGUAGCUUCUUUGAAGAAGGAAUUUGUCGGAUAA